GACGUAGGGCGCGAGCGUUGUCCGGAUUUAUUGGGCGUAAAGAGCUCGUAGGCGGCUUGUUGCGUCGACUGUGAAAACCCGCGGCUUAACUGCGGGCUUGCAGUUGAUACGGGCAGGCUAGAGUUCGGUAGGGGAGACUGGAAUUCCUGGUGUAGCGGUGGAAUGCGCAGAUAUCAGGAGGAACACCGGUGGCGAAGGCGGGUCUCUGGGCCGUAACUGACGCUGAGGAGCGAAAGCGUGGGGAGCGAACAGG
rnacentral:rRNA from 1 species